rnacentral:rRNA from 1 species
CAUUAUCGAAUAUAAACUUGGGUAGAUUGUUGCUGGCUUUUCUUUGAGGAGCAUGUGCACGUUUAUCCUCUUUAUUUUUCCACCUGUGCACCUUUUGUAGGCUUGGAUUAUAGUGGUUCUUCAUAAGAAUUUUUUGGGACUGCUGUGUUUAAACGCAUGUUUAUCGGCUUUCCCUUUUAUUUUCCAAGUCUAUGUUUUUCAUAUACACUCGAGAAAUAUAAUAUAAUAGAAUGCUGUACUUUUAGGUCAUUCGUACCUAUAUAAAAUCAGUACAACUUUCAGCAACGGAUCUCUUGGCUCUCGCAUCGAUGAAGAACGCAGCGAAAUGCGAUAAGUAAUGUGAAUUGCAGAAUUCAGUGAAUCAUCGAAUCUUUGAACGCAUCUUGCGCUCCUUGGUAUUCCAAGGAGCAUGCCUGUUUGAGUAUCAUUAAAUUAUCAACUGUGCCAAAAUUGGUUUACAGAUUGGAUGUGGGGGAAUUUUGCAGGCUUUUGAUUUCUCUUGAAAGUCUGCUCCCCUGAAAUGUAUUAGCAGUGCCUUUGUUGGUUCCUUAGGUGUGAUAAUUUAUCUACAUCUUUACAUGGUACCUUCAUUUGUAAGGUCGUAUUGCUUCUAAUUGUCUAUGGACAAAAUGACAAACUUG